rnacentral:rRNA from 1 species
AGAGUUUGAUCAUGGCUCAGAUUGAACGCUGGCGGCAGGCCUAACACAUGAUGUCGAACGGUAACAGGAAGCAGCUUGCUGCUUUGCUGACGAGUGGCGGACGGGUGAGUAAUGUCUGGGAAACUGCCUGAUGGAGGGGGAUAACUACUGGAAACGGUAGCUAAUACCGCAUAACGUCGCAAGACCAAAGAGGGGGACCUUAGGGCCUCUUGCCAUCGGAUGCCCAGAUGGGAUUAGCUAGUAGGUGGGGUAACGGCUCACCUAGGCGACGAUCCCUAGCUGGUCUGAGAGGAUGACCAGCCACACUGGAACUGAGACACGGUCCAGACUCCUACGGGAGGCAGCAGUGGGGAAUAUUGCACAAUGGGCGCAAGCCUGAUGCAGCCAUGCCGCGUGUAUGAAGAAGGCCUUCGGGUUGUAAAGUACUUUCAGCGGGGAGGAAGGGAGUAAAGUUAAUACCUUUGCUCAUUGACGUUACCCGCAGAAGAAGCACCGGCUAACUCCGUGCCAGCAGCCGCGGUAAUACGGAGGGUGCAAGCGUUAAUCGGAAUUACUGGGCGUAAAGCGCACGCAGGCGGUUUGUUAAGUCAGAUGUGAAAUCCCCGGGCUCAAACCUGGGAACUGCAUCUGAUACUGGCAAGCUUGAGUCUCGUAGAGGGGGGUAGAAUUCCAGGUGUAGCGGUGAAAUGCGUAGAGAUCUGGAGGAAUACCGGUGGCGAAGGCGGCCCCCUGCACAAAGACUGACGCUCAGGUGCGAAAGCGUGUGGAGCAACAGGAUUAGAUACCCUGGUAGUCCACGC